rnacentral:rRNA from 1 species
UACGUAGGUGGCAAGCGUUGUCCGGAAUCACUGGGCGUAAAGGGUGCGUAGGCGGGUCUUUAAGUCAGGGGUGAAAUCCUGGAGCUCAACUCCAGAACUGCCUUUGAUACUGAAGAUCUUGAGUUCGGGAGAGGUGAGUGGAACUGCGAGUGUAGAGGUGAAAUUCGUAGAUAUUCGCAAGAACACCAGUGGCGAAGGCGGCUCACUGGCCCGAUACUGACGCUGAGGCACGAAAGCGUGGGGAGCAAACAGG